rnacentral:rRNA from 1 species
CAGCUUGCUGYUUYGCUGACGAGUGGCGGACGGGUGAGUAAUGUCUGGGAAACUGCCUGAUGGAGGGGGAUAACUACUGGAAACGGUAGCUAAUACCGCAUAACGUCGCAAGACCAAAGAGGGGGACCUUCGGGCCUCUUGCCAUCGGAUGUGCCCAGAUGGGAUUAGCUWGUWGGUGGGGUAACGGCUCACCWAGGCGACGAUCCCUAGCUGGUCUGAGAGGAUGACCAGCCACACUGGAACUGAGACACGGUCCAGACUCCUACGGGAGGCAGCAGUGGGGAAUAUUGCACAAUGGGCGCAAGCCUGAUGCAGCCAUGCCGCGUGUAUGAAGAAGGCCUUCGGGUUGUAAAGUACUUUCAGCGGGGAGGAAGGGAGUAAAGUUAAUACCUUUGCUCAUUGACGUUACCCGCAGAAGAAGCACCGGCUAACUCCGUGCCAGCAGCCGCGGUAAUACGGAGGGUGCAAGCGUUAAUCGG